AGUGAACGCUGGCGGUAGGCCUAACACAUGCAAGUCGAACGGCAGCACAGUAAGAGCUUGCUCUUACGGGUGGCGAGUGGCGGACGGGUGCGGAAUACAUCGGAAUCUACUUUUUCGUGGGGGCUAACGUAGGGAAACUUACGCUAAUACCGCAUACGACCUACGGGUGAAAGCAGGGGACCUUCGGACUUUGUGCGAUUGUAUGAGCCGAUGUCGGAUUAGCUAGUUGGCGGGGUAAAGGGGCACCACGGCGACGAUCCGUAGGUGGUCUGAGAGGAUGGUCAGCUACCCGGGAACUGAGAAAGGGCCCAGACCCUGAGGGGGGGCAGCGGUGGGGAAUAUUGCACGAGGGGGGCAAGGCGGAUCCAGCCAUACCGCGUAGAGGAAGAAGGCCUUCGGGUGGGAGAACCCUUUUGUUGGGAAAGAAAAACAACAGGUUAAUACCCCGCGGUACUGACGGUACCCAAAGAAUAAGCACCGGCUAACUUCGUG
rnacentral:rRNA from 1 species